rnacentral:rRNA from 1 species
AUUGAACGCUGGCGGCAGGCUUAACACAUGCAAGUCGAGCGGAGAGAGGUAGCUUGCUACCGAUCUUAGCGGCGGACGGGUGAGUAAUGCUUAGGAAUCUGCCUAUUAGUGGGGGACAACAUUUCGAAAGGAAUGCUAAUACCGCAUACGUCCUACGGGAGAAAGCAGGGGAUCUUCGGACCUUGCGCUAAUAGAUGAGCCUAAGUCGGAUUAGCUAGUUGGUGGGGUAAAGGCCUACCAAGGCGACGAUCUGUAGCGGGUCUGAGAGGAUGAUCCGCCACACUGGGACUGAGACACGGCCCAGACUCCUACGGGAGGCAGCAGUGGGGAAUAUUGGACAAUGGGCGCAAGCCUGAUCCAGCCAUGCCGCGUGUGUGAAGAAGGCCUUUUGGUUGUAAAGCACUUUAAGCGAGGAGGAGGCUACUAGUAUUAAUACUACUGGAUAGUGGACGUUACUCGCAGAAUAAGCACCGGCUAACUCUGUGCCAGCCGCCGCGGUAAUAC